AUGCACUUCACGGACAGCUAUAUAAGUAGAAAGUGAGGGCGGAAGGAUUUAGAUAGAGUGCGGCAGUGGUGUGUGAGUAAGUGAAUGUCUGUGUGGCUGGUGAGUGUAUGUUUGUGUGUAUGCGCCGCUGUCGCCUCUGUAUUACACAUUAAUCAUCCUUAUUUGAUUCCCCCGGGAUGCAGCCUGUCCCGUGGUGGGAGAUGAUAAUAAACCUCUCGCUAACCCUUCCUCGGGUUGUGUGCAUUGAGCUCAGGUCUACAGGCUUUUCUGGGAUAUGAUGAAUUCAUCAGAUAUACUAGGCCGGGGUUUCCUUUUGGGACCUCUGCUCUAUGAGUAUAUAAGCGAUUCUGAUCCCA